rnacentral:lncRNA from 1 species
UUGAAGCCUAGCGUUUGCUUUUUUUUUUUUUUUUUUGGUACUGGGAAUUGAACUCGGGUUCUUGUGCUUGAGCAGCAAGCAGCGAAACCACUGAGCUAAAUCCCCGGCCUGCGUUUGCUUUUUAAACCCGUGUUGAUGUUAGACUAAAGCCAGUCUCAUAGAUGUCUUUCAGUAAGCAGAAGCAGAGGAAAUACUCCCUAAUUCAUAGCAAGUGCACUAGAAAAGUUAACUUGAAAGUUCAGUGAGAAUGGUGCAAGAAUAGAUUCAUCCAUUGUCACAAACAGGAACCUGGUAAAGCAGGAGAUUGCCAUGAACUUGCAGUCGUGCCACCUCAGGCUCCUGUCCUGCCUGGACUAAACAAACAGGACUAAGGAAACAGCCUCCUUUCAGCAAACAGCAGCUUCUCAGUAAAUAGGAGAAAUGGACUCAAAAUGAAGUGUAUGACUCCCUGAUGCUCACAAGUCCUUGGACUCAGAAACAUUUCAUCCCAGAUGCCAUAGACCCUUCAAUACCUAUAUAAGCCUAAUUCCUUUCCUGGUUAGCUACUAAUAUCUCUCUCAAUGUCAGUUCAUCCACUCAUGGAUGAAAUCUCUCCCAGCUAGCUGCUCCCACCUCUCUCUCUCUCUCUCUUAAUGUCAGCCCAUCCAACAUGGAUGUGUUCAUGUCAGCUUUUCCCUGGUAGCUCCUAGAAUCUCCUGAUUUUUGUCCCUCUUUACUGGAAUAAACUUCUUUGAAAGCC